rnacentral:lncRNA from 1 species
CCUUUUAUUUCUUUUGCUUGCCUGAUUGCUCUGGCUAGGACUUCCAAUACUAUGUUAAAUAAGAGUGGUGACAGUGGGCAUCCUUGUCUGGUUCCUGUUCUUAGAGGGAUAGCUUUCAGUUUUUCUCCAUUGGGAAUGAUAUUUGCUGUGGGUUUGUCAUAUAUGGCCUUUAUUAUGUUGAGGUACUUUCCUUCUAUACUCAUUUUAUUGAGAAUUUUAUCAUAAAUGGAUACUGAAUCUUGUGAAAUGCUUUCUCUGCGUCUAUUGAGAUGAUCAUAUGAUUUUUAUUCUUCAUGUGUUAAUGUGUUCUAUCACAUUAACAGACUUGCAGAUGUUGAGCUAUCUUUGCAUCCCUGAAAUAAAUCCCACUUGAUUGUGGUGUAAGAUCCUUUUAUGUAUCAUUUUAUUUGAUUUGCUCAUAUUUUCUUGGGAUUUUGCAUCUAUGUUCAUCAGUGAUAUUGGCCUAUAAUUUUCCUUUUUUGUGUUGUCCUUCUCUAGUUUUGGUAUCACGCUAAUGUUGGCCUUGUAAAAUGAGUUAGGAAGUGUCCUGUCCUCUUCAAUGUUUUGGGAGAGUUUGAGAAGGAGAUGUAUUAAGUCUUCUUUGAAUGUUCGAUAGAAUUCACCAGAGAAGCCAUCUGGUCCUGGACUUUUGUUUUUGUGGCAGUUUUUGAUUACUGUUUUUAUCUCCUUGUGAUUGGUCUAUUCAGAGUCUCCAUUUUUUCUUGAUUCAGUUUUGGGAGUUUGUAUGAUCCUAAGAAUUUAUCCAUUUCUUCUAGGUUAUCCAAUUGUUGGCAUAUAGCUUUUCAUAUUCUCUUCUUUCUCUUGUUUCAUAUUCUCUUAUAAUUCUUUGUAUUUCUGUGGUACCCAUUAUAAUUUCUCCUCUUCUGUUUCUGAUUUUAUUUGACAUAAUUACAUGGGUUCACAACCACCAUAGUUUUGAUUAUAUCUUCAAAGAAAGUCCUGCUAUGUAACACUUUAAAUUUGUUGGCUUACAAUUACAGAAAUUACAUUAAUGAUAGUUCAUUGUCCCAUGAUUAGAUAUCCACCUAGAAAAAUAUAUUUGUAUGAGAUGUGAUUACUCAUGAGAGCAAGGGCACCAGGGUUGAUCAGAUUAUUUUAUCUUCUUUUGGAUACUCUUCAUAAUGUUUUAAAUUUGAGAUAUAAUUUUGAUGGACCUAACCACUCCAAAAAUAAGCAUUUCGUUAGCAUUAUUUUGCACCAAUGACCACUAAGUAUUUCUCAAGUUUUGCUCACGUGUCAUGUCUCCUAUUGGCAUUUAGUCACAGGCAUACGCAGUAAGAUGGCAUUCAGGUGGUGCUGACCUGUUAGAUCCUGUGUUCCCAUGUCAGACUCCUUGCUUGCGUACCCUCCUCUCCAACUCAACUCUGGGAAAAGUCAGGUGUGCUACCUUUGCCUGACUGUGGAUAGAAGAUUCAAAGAUGAGGGUGGGAGGGAUCUGAACUAGCUCAAGUCUGCAGGAAACCAAGUCUCAGGGGAUUAUGUUUGGAUCUUGGACAUAGGCGAGCGUUCUGGAAAAACCUGAUGCUAGAUAGGAGGAAGUUCAACACAAGUCUAAUCAUAACUGCAAAGCCUUCUAGGUUCACUUCUCCUCUCAAGGAUGACUUUCUUCUAUAAAGUCCUCUGAAUUCUGCCUGCGUGAUUAGACAGUGCAGGAACAGGAACCCAGACAGGACAUUGUAAUUUUUUUCUUCCCCUCACUUAUUGGAUUCCUCUCUUAGGUAUGAGGCAAUCGAACUUUGACCAGGGUACUCCUUGACUAAGAAACACUUACUAGGAAAAGAAAAGUACCUUGGAAUCAAGUAGACCUUGGUAUGGAUCCUAGAUCCACUCAUUACAAGUUCUAUGUACUUUGCUAUUUACUUAAUCUAUGAACUUUAGCUUUUUCUCCAUAAAACGAGAAUGACAAUACCUGCUUCUUAGAUUUAUUGAUAGACUUCAAUGAAAUAAUAGCUAUUAAUUACCAAGCACAGAACCUGGCAAAAUAGAAUGAAAUUACUUCACAAUAUGAGUUUUGUCUCCUCUUCACUUUUUUCUUUCUUCCCCAAUUAGCCCAUAGACUAUACCUUAAUUAUGGGUUAUUAACCUUGGGAGAUUUUCUUAUCAGACUAAACCUUAGGUUCUCUUAAAAGGGUGUGAAGGGGCCAGGCCCAGAGGCCACCUAAUUUUUCAAUUUAUUUGUUUUUUGAUUUUACAAGAUUCACUUGUAAGUAUUGAGCAGAUCUUUCUUCUGAUCUUGUCUUUUCUCUCUUCUUUCCACCUUUUCCCCAUCCUAUCAUGAACCAAAUUAAAGUGCUCAUCUACACUGUGCUAAAUGUUCUUUGUAACGGAUGUUGUGGUAUAUCACCCAGAUUCACCUUCAUUCCCCCACCUGCUUGGAGUUUUGGCAGCUGAUGAUCUACAGCUGUGUCUCUCUUUGGAGACUUCCCUCUGCUGGAGAAAGCUGCCUUGUCCAAGGUUUUUACUCCUUCCUGGAAGGAGACUACAUCCAGUGACUCUUCCAUAAGGGUAUGAAAGCCCUAUACCUUAGCCUCAAUUUGGGAUUUCUCUAAAGGAC